CCCAUCUCAGGGUCACACCUGGAGAGUUUCCAGUCCUCUACCAGUCUCGGCUACAGGAGGGAGAAUCAAGCAGAGGCCUACCCUUUCCAUUCCUAGCUCGGGCAGUAGCUAGAGCGUGGAAGGCAAUCUGCUACAAGU